rnacentral:rRNA from 1 species
AAAUUGAAGAGUUUGAUCAUGGCUCAGAUUGAACGCUGGCGGCAGGCYUAACACAUGCAAGUCGAACGGUAGCACAGAGAGCUUGCUCUCGGGUGACGAGUGGCGGACGGGUGAGUAAUGUCUGGGAAACUGCCUGAUGGAGGGGGAUAACUACUGGAAACGGUAGCUAAUACCGCAUAAUGUCGCAAGACCAAAGAGGGGGACCUUCGGGCCUCUUGCCAUCAGAUGUGCCCAGAUGGGAUUAGCUAGUAGGUGGGGUAACGGCUCACCUAGGCGACGAUCCCUAGCUGGUCUGAGAGGAUGACCAGCCACACUGGAACUGAGACACGGUCCAGACUCCUACGGGAGGCAGCAGUGGGGAAUAUUGCACAAUGGGCGCAAGCCUGAUGCAGCCAUGCCGCGUGUAUGAAGAAGGCCUUCGGGUUGUAAAGUACUUUCAGCGGGGAGGAARGCGUUGUGGUUAAUAACCACAGCGAUUGACGUUACCCGCAGAAGAAGCACCGGCUAACUCCGUGCCAGCAGCCGCGGUAAUACGGAGGGUGCAAGCGUUAAUCGGAAUUACUGGGCGUAAAGCGCACGCAGGCGGUCUGUCAAGUCGGAUG